GAUGAACGCUAGCGGCAGGCCUAAUACAUGCAAGUCGAACGGAGUGGAGCAGCAAUGCUUCACUUAGUGGCGCACGGGUGCGUAACGCGUAUGCAACCUACCUUUUAUUGGGGGAUAGCCCGAAGAAAUUCGGAUUAAUACCACAUAAUAUCAUUUGAGGGCAUCUGAGGAUGAUGAAAGCUUUGGCGAUCAAAGAUGGGCAUGCGUGUCAUUAGCUAGUUGGUCGAGGUAACGGCUCACCAAGGCGACGAUGACUAGGGGUUCUGAGAGGAUGAUCCCCCACACUGGUACUGAGAUACGGACCAGACUCCUACGGGAGGCAGCAGUAGGGAAUAUUGGGCAAUGGCGGAAACGCUGACCCAGCCAUGCCGCGUGCCGGAUGAAGGCCUUCUGGGUUGUAAACGGCUUUUACCAGGGAAGAACCUACCUUUGCGAAGGGAACUGACGGUACCUGGUGAAUAAGCACCGGCUAACUCCGUGCCAGCAGCCGCGGUAACAC
rnacentral:rRNA from 1 species